ACGUUGUCAAGAUUCAGAUGGUUCUAAUGCAAAAAGGUUUAAACGUGAAACUGUUGGCCAAUUACGACCCCCACAACAAAGUGUUUCGGAUGUGUUACAAGGAUUAAUUUACGCAGUCAGGGGUAUGCAUAGGCCGACAUCUACACUCUAAAAAAUGCUGGGUUAUUUGUUUAACCCAACAGCUGGGUUGAGCCUGUUGGGUCAUUUUGUUGGGUUAUUUUCUCAGUGUUGGGUCAUUUUUUGAGUAACCCAAACGCUGGGUUAGCAGUCGGGUCCAAUUGAGUGACAGUUGAGACAGUAAACCCCUCCCACUCCUCGACGCAUCAGACAAACUUUACCUUCGCGGGCAUUUUGAUCCACCUCAUCUCGGAAAGUUGUUAUUCGGAGAAGAAAAGGUUACAGAAUAACAGCUAAUAUUAAUGGAUCAUUCUAUUCAAGAGAAAGUCAACUGGAACUUGGAUAUUUUCAUAACAGGCUUAAAGAUGAACAAAUUGAUAAAGAAACCCUCCUGCUGAACAUCCACUUCCAAAAGUGCACGCCACACUGUUGUCUACAACUCCCAGGAAAAGAAUCCUCUUUAGUAAGACUGCUCCGUGGAUAUGUCAGGUUAAGCAGUGCUGAAACCGAAAGAACUAACGCUCUUUAAAAUGUUUUGUGAGUUUAUAUGAAGAGGAAAGUUACGGUGUCCCUUUUUCACAUCCAUAACGCUUGUUUAUUUCUUUUUUUAUAGAAAACUUGUGCAUAGACUGAUAUUUUAUCAUAUAAAUGCGGUUCUAUCAACAAGGGUUUAGUAAAAUACUUUUUAUAGUGUUUUUAUGUCGCAUCCAUAAUGCUGGAAUUGCCCUAAAGCAUUUUACUCGUGCCACUUUGUUAACUGUAUAUGAAUUUUUGAAGUGUUAAGUUGUCUAACUAUUUAUAUUUACUUGUGCCACUUUAAUAACCUUGUUAAAGGUACAAUGUGUAGGAUUUUGAAGGAUUUAUUCACCUAAAUGUAAUAUAUAAUACAAAACUAUGUUGUGAGUGGUGAAGAAAUACCUUACAAAAUGAAACGAAAUGUUUAUAUUACCUUACAAUGAGCCAUUUUAUGUAUAUACACCGCGGGCACACCCUUACAUGUAAUUUAUUAAUGUGCACAGCCAUGUUUCUAUAGUAGCACUACACGGACAAACUGAGCGCGUUUCGUAAAACGAAGGAUGCGCGAGAAUAUGUUCUUCUUCUUCGGCUGUUUUUUGGGGCAGCUUCAAAGCGACUACAUAGAAGGAUUAGCAGAAGAAGAGGAAGAACAAUAACAGCAUUUACUUGUCGUGUUUUUUAGUAGAAAUAUAAACGGUUCUUUGUUGCGGUAAGAAGUGAAAUUUGCUCUAAUGGCGGACCACACAUACUCCGCACAAGAGCCGUUAGAGCGUCAAUCUGUUCGUUCAAAAAAGAGAAAAUACGACGCAGCAAGGCGAAGUCGAGACAAAAAACAGCAGAAAACCCGAAUAAACAUCGGCAUGGCUUUUCCCAAAUGGAGGGCACUGAAGCAGGAAAAGGGUUUGCUAAGCGACGCCGAAGUUGCCAGCUUUCUGCUGGACCGGUAAGUUUGUCUAAUUUCCGCUAUAUAAGUGAAGUGUUUGUUUGAUAGCUUUAGCUAAUAGAUGAGCAUGAGCAUCAAGUGAGUUUUUCUUGUUUUUAGCACUUUGUUAUUGUACUAUAAUUCCUUUUUGCAUGGCCGUGUGCAAAUCAAGUUAGAAAUCAUUUUUACAAUCAUAAUUUGCAUACAUCGGGUGUAAAUUAUAUUAUAAUACUGCUUAGCCUCUGUGCAUACAAAUGUGUAAUUUAAUAAUUGAUAGGAUAAAAUCCAAACUUCCACGUUGCAUAGUUUAUCAGUAAUACAGUGUCAACGAAGAUUUGAGAAGAUACAAUUGAUCAAUUGGGGUGAUGCCUUACUUUAGCAUUAGCAAGCGGUUUAAAUAGGCUGUAUGUUACGAACCAAGUUACCGUGCCAAAAAAUGCUAUGCAAAAUAAGCGAAUACAUCACUGACACAAUGUUAUACAAGUAACAAUAAUUUUCACUAUAACGAUUAGAGUAAAUAAUGAAUUAAGUCAAUUUAAUUAAUUUGUUUUUCUUUGUAAAUAAACCUCGUCACUUGAUUUGCAAAGGUUACUUUCUGCUGUCUCAGACGACGACAUCUCUGUCCUGUGUCCGUAACUUCAGUGUGUUGUUCGCCUGUGAGAUGUAGAUUGCAAUUAUCAACACCACCGAUAGUGGCCGCUAUCAUUUAUUGAACCCUUUUGUCCUGUGACGGCAACCGUAGCUACUCUAAUAGAAGGGAGAGGAUGGUGGCGGAGCUUUAGGUUGCAAUUUCCAACUACGCCAAUAGUGGUCUCUGUUACUUACACAGUUCACCUUUAAAUGUAUAUGUUAAAAUCUAAACUAAUGUAAUUUAUUGAAGUUAAUUUUCCUUAAAUAUGUAUAAACAUACAUUUCAUCAAAGUGUUUUAUAUGCCAUUUUAUUGUUCAUUGAGCAUAACCUAUUGCAUGUUUUUAUGAAUUCCUUUUAUUUUGCAUUUUGAUCCUUAAUAAAACUUUUGAUUCUUACUGAUGCCUCGAGUAUUUCUCUGUGAUUUUGUUAUUAUUAUUUUUAAACAUUUCGGGUUUGUUUAAAACCAGCAAUGUAAUUUUUAAGCAAAAGUUGAUUGAAAUAAAACAACCCAGCAUGUUGGGUCAAAGAUAUAACCCAACUGGCUGGGUUAAAAUAACCCAACGCUGGGUUUGUCCAUAUUUGACCCAGCGUUGGGUUACCAAAAUAACCCAAAUUGGGUUGUUUUAACCCAGCCUUUUUUUA